rnacentral:rRNA from 1 species
AUGGCCGCUCUGAUCACGAGGCUGCUCCACCACCACAACCGCCGCCUCCUCGCCUCCGCUCGUCGCCUGCCGCGCGCUCCCCUUGGCGGCGCCAUCUACAAGGAUGUUGCAAAGGCUGAAGCAUCCUCUUUAAAAAAUUCAAGGUGGUACAUGACCAAGUCAAGCCCUUUUAGUCCUCUGACAAUGCAGGAGUACCGCAAAACAUUUCCUUCUUUAUUAAGGUCAUCUGCAUCUUACUCCUCACAAGCUUCAGACCAAAAUCCCAAAGAGGAGAAAAAGGACUUGUCAACUGUUGGAGAUCCCUUCGAUGCCCCUACAUAUAAUAUACCUGAGAAACCGGUGACUUUUGCUGAGGGGGCUUCUUACAGUGUUGUAAUACUCGCGGGGCUUGGAGUUGCAGCAUUAGCUGGAUAUUCUGUUUUCAAGGAGCUUAUUUUUGAACCAAAAGAGUACAAGAUCUUUGGGAAAGCUCUAGCAAGAGUUCAGAGUGAUAGUCAGGUUACAGCGAGAAUUGGGUACCCUAUUACUGGUUAUGGUAAUGAAAGCAGAAACCGUGCAGCCCGACAGCGUAUUCCAAACAGGGUUUGGACAGAUGAGGACGGUGUUGAACAUGUGGAGGUCAACUUUUACAUCCGAGGUCCGCAUGGAGCUGGAAAGGUAUAUUCAGAGAUGUUCAAAGAUAACUCUGACAGGACAUGGAAGUUCAUGUACCUUCUUGUUGAGUUUACAGCACCGCUACAGGGACAAGUAAUGUUAGAAUCUUACAUACCAGCGUAA